rnacentral:pre_miRNA from 1 species
CUUUUAGUAUAAAUAUGUCUCCUGCAAUAUGUGGGAUAUACUUAUAGUAAAA